CUACGGGUGGCAGCAGUGGGGAAUAUUGGGCAAUGGGCGAAAGCCUGACCCAGCAACGCCGCGUGAUUGAAGAAGGCUUUCGGGUUGUAAAAAUCUGUCCUUGGGGACGAAGAAGUGACGGUACCCAAGGAGGAAGCCCCGGCUAACUACGUGCCAGCAGCCGCGGUAAUACGUAGGGGGCGAGCGUUGUCCGGAAUUACUGGGCGUAAAGGGUGCGCAGGCGGCGCUUUAAGUCAGAUGUGAAAUACCCAGGCUUAACCUGGGGGGUGCAUUUGAAACUGGAGCGCUUGAGUGCAGGAGAGGAAAGUGGAAUUCCUAGUGUAGCGGUGAAAUGCGUAGAUAUUAGGAGGAACACCAGUGGCGAAGGCGACUUUCUGGACUGUAACUGACGCUGAGGCACGAAAGCGUGGGGAGCAAACAGGAUUAGAUACCCCAGUAGUC
rnacentral:rRNA from 1 species